AUACCGCGAAACUGCGAAUGGCUCAUUAAAUCAGUUAUCGUUUAUUUGAUAGCACCUUACUACUUGGAUAACCGUGGUAAUUCUAGAGCUAAUACAUGCUGAAAAUCCCGACUUCGGAAGGGAUGUAUUUAUUAGAUUAAAAACCAAUGCCCUCCGGGGCUCACUGGUGAUUCAUGAUAACUUCUCGAAUCGCAUGGCCUUGCGCCGGCGAUGGUUCAUUCAAAUUUCUGCCCUAUCAACUUUCGACUGCUGGGUCUUGGCCAGCAAUGGUGACAACGGGUAACGGAGGGUUAGGGCUCGACCCCGGAGAAGGAGCCUGAGAAACGGCUACUACAUCCAAGGAAGGCAGCAGGCGCGCAAAUUACCCAAUCCCGACACGGGGAGGUAGUGACAAUAAAUACUGAUACAGGGCUCUUUUGGGUCUUGUAAUUGGAAUGAGUACAAUUUAAAUCCCUUAACGAGGAACAAUUGGAGGGCAAGUCUGGUGCCAGCAGCCGCGGUAAUUCCAGCUCCAAUAGCGUAUAUUAAAGUUGUUGCAGUUAAAAAGCUCGUAGUUGAACCUUGGGCCUGGCCGGCCGGUCCGCCUCACCGCGUGCACUGGUUCGGCCGGGCCUUUUCCUCUGGCGAGCCCCAUGCCCUUCACUGGGCGUGUGGGGGAACCAGGACUUUUACUUUGAAAAAAUUAGAGUGUUCAAAGCAGGCCUAUGCUCGAAUACAUUAGCAUGGAAUAAUAGAAUAGGACGUGCGGUUCUAUUUUGUUGGUUUCUAGGACCGCCGUAAUGAUUAAUAGGGACAGUCGGGGGCAUCAGUAUUCAAUUGUCAGAGGUGAAAUUCUUGGAUUUAUUGAAGACUAACUACUGCGAAAGCAUUUGCCAAGGAUGUUUUCAUUAAUCAGGAACGAAAGUUAGGGGAUCGAAGACGAUCAGAUACCGUCGUAGUCUUAACCAUAAACUAUGCCGACUAGGGAUCGGACGAUGUUAUUUUUUGACUCGUUCGGCACCUUACACGAAAGUACAA
rnacentral:rRNA from 1 species